UCUUGAAGAGAUAACAACAUGGACACAAAUCCCCACAUCUGUGUAAUUUACAUGCUAAUGGAAUAGAAAUUUCUAUCACAGACAUAUGCAGAGGCUUGCCAUACAAAUCUCCUAGGUGCCUCUUAGUCCAGUCAAGGUGACCAGAGAGAUGACCUAUCGCACAGAGCUAGCAUGUGUCAGAAUCCUGAGGUGUGGAGGCAUCUGCUUUGUUGUAAGAAGCGAUGUGAUAGGAUGGAGAGGAUGGUGAACCAUGGCCAGUGGGGUUGCUCUGACUGUGGGGUCAACUGAAGACAACAAGAAUGGCAGGAAAACAUGGCUUAAGGAUGGAUGUUUCCAGGUAACAGAGAAGAGGAUGAGAGCUGGGGCCAGGGACUAAGCUUUGGAGUCCGCAAAGGCUCCAUCCUGUCCAGGAGGAAGGAGCAUUCUGGCUACUGUGGUAGUUUUUCAGGAUGAAUGGCUUAGAGUUUGGAACCGUCCUCCUGUGAGGCAGACAGCAGGCCUGGCUUUGAGGCUCAUUCUCCUGAGGACAGACGUGACUCAUCAUUCAGGAUGUUGUGUCAUCCUUAAAUGAACAUGGAAUUUGUGGCCAGAUCGUCUUCCCCUGUGGACACGUGUGACAAUUAGGGAAAGAGCAGAGAGGUGGUAGAGUGGAGGACCAAGCAUGUCCAGUGGGAGCCUGAUGACAGAAGUUGUCAGCUACAAGUCAAAGGCGUCUUGAGAACUCGUGACCGUGUCUGCGUCCUAAGGCUGUGGAAACCGUAAGUACCCAGUGAGCUGGGAGACACGCUGCUGUGUCUGAGGAUGGAGAGGACAAUGGACAGCGGAUGUAUCAAGGGAAGCUGAAAAUCUCCUAGUUCCAGAACUGGGGGCCAUGGACCGUGUUUGUACAGGAGCCACUGUGCCUGGACAAUUGUAGCUACCGUCUCACCAUCAAAAAAAGCUUCUCUUUGCAGCAAAUGGAGACCAUCACAGAAAAUCACAAUUGGGUACAGUGCAGAGGAGAACCCAGACCAAAAGGAUACACCUAUAUCAAAGAUGCUGCAUCAGUGGCUCAGGGAACGUCUUAGGAGAUGGGGUGGAGAGUGUAAGAGCGGGACUGCCAGGCCGUCUGCUGUGAGUCAGUCUCUCCUAGACUGUGACAAUGGCAGUACCAGUGGAUAUGUUAACAUGGACGGGGGAAUCUUCAUGGUCUCAUCUUUACACAAAGAACUACAGGCAAGGAAUAACUGCUGGGAGUAUAACUAGCCUUUCCAAGGAAU
rnacentral:lncRNA from 1 species